rnacentral:rRNA from 1 species
GUACACACCGCCCGUCACACCACGAGAGUUUGUAACACCCGAAGCCGGUGGAGUAACCUUUUAGGAGCUAGCCGUCGAAGGUGGGACAAAUGAUUGGGGUGAAGUCGUAACAAGGUAGCCGUAUCGGAAGGUGCGGCUGGAUCACCUCCUUUCUAAGGA